rnacentral:tRNA from 7 species
GAUCUCGUAGCUCAGCUGGCAGAGCACUACCUUGACAUGGUAGGGGUCGAUGGUUCAAGUCCAUUCGGGAUCACCA